AUUUUUUUCUACUGUGUUAUUGACUUGCUAAUUGUUUACUCCAUGUGUAACUCUGUGUUGUCUGUUCACACUGCUAUGCUUUAUCUUGGCCAGGUCGCAGUUGCAAAUGAGAACUUGUUCUCAACUAGCCUACCUGGUUAAAUAAAGGUGAAAUAAAAAAAAAAAUAUAAAAAAAAUGACCAACAGGUGGAGACUAACAGUGAAAUGCUUCAUGACCAACAGGUGGAGACUAACAGUGAAAUGCUUCAUGAGCAACAGGUGGAGACUAACAGUGAAAUGCUUCAUGACCAACAGGUGGAGACUAACAGUGAAAUGCUUCAUGAACAAUAGGUGGAGACUAACAGUGAAAUGCUUCAUGACCAACAGGUGGAGACUAACAGUGACAUGCUUCAUAAACAACAGGUGGAGACUAACAGUGAAAUGCUUCAUGACCAACAGGUGGAGACUAACAGUGAAAUGCUUCAUGAACAACAGGUGGAGACUAACAGUGACAUGCUUCAUGACCAACAGGUGGAGACUAACAGUGAAAUGCUUCAUGAACAACAGGUGGAGACUAACAGUGAAAUGCUUCAUAAACAACAGGUGGAGACUAACAGUGACAUGCUUCAUGACCAACAGGUGGAGACUAACAGUGAAAUGCUUCAUGAACAACAGGUGGAGACUAACAGUGAAAUGCUUCAUGACCAACAGGUGGAGACUAACAGUGACAUGCUUCAUGACCAACAGGUGGAGACUAACAGUGAAAUGCUUCAUGAACAAUAGGUGGAGACUAACAGUGAAAUGCUUCAUAAACAACAGGUGGAGACUAACAGUGACAUGCUUCAUAAACAACAGGUGGAGACUAACAGUGAAAUGCUUCAUGACCAACAGGUGGAGACUAACCAGUGAAAUGCUUCAUGACCAACAGGUGGAGACUAACAGUGACAUGCUUCAUGACCAACAGGUGGAGACUAACAGUGAAAUGCUUCAUGACCAACAGGUGGAGACUAACAGUGAAAUGCUUCAUGAACAAUAGGUGGAGACUAACAGUGAAAUGCUUCAUGAACAAUAGGUGGAGACUAACAGUGAAAUGCUUCAUAAACAACAGGUGGAGACUAACAGUGACAUGCUUCAUAAACAACAGGUGGAGACUAACAGUGAAAUGCUUCAUGACCAACAGGUGGAGACUAACCAGUGAAAUGCUUCAUGACCAACAGGUGGAGACUAACAGUGAAAUGCUUCAUGACCAACAGGUGGAGACUAACCAGUGAAAUGCUUCAUGACCAACAGGUGGAGACUAACAGUGAAAUGCUUCAUAAACAACAGGUGGAGACUAACAGUGAAAUGCUUCAUAAACAACAGGUGGAGACUAACAGUGAAAUGCUUCAUGACCAACAGGUGGAGACUAACAGUGAAAUGCUUCAUGAACAACAGGUGGAGACUAACAGUGACAUGCUUCAUGAACAACAGGUGGAGACUAACAGUGAAAUGCUUCAUGACCAACAGGUGGAGACUAACAGUGAAAUGCUUCAUGACCAACAGGUGGAGACUAACAGUGAAAUGCUUCAUGACCAACAGGUGGAGACUAACAGUGAAAUGCUUCAUGACCAACAGGUGGAGACUAACAGUGAAAUGCUUCAUGACCAACAGGUGGAGACUAACAGUGAAAUGCUUCAUGACCAACAGGUGUAGUA